GCUGUCGUUCCACUGUGUGUGUGUGGGUGUGUGCGUGUGCGUGUUUGUGUGUGUGUCAGUGUCCUUGUGUGGCUCCAUGUGUGACUGUCUGUGUGUGUGUGUUUUUACAUUUGUGUGUGUGUGUGUGUGUGUGUGCGUGUGUGUGUGUGUGUGUGUGUGUGCAGCAUGGCUGCCCUCUAAGCCGCCCAUGCUUGUGAGGUCUUUAGCCCCGCCGCUGCUCAUCGCGCUCCCCCCCCCCAGCUGGGGGCGUUCCUCCAGGGGAACUUGAUCCAGUAGCCCCCUCACACAAACCCGCGGUUCACCCACUCACCUCAAAACAUCCAAGAACAUCACUCUGUCAUGCUCUCGCUGACACUUUUUCUCUUGAGUCUCACUUCGUAAUCCUCAGCACAUACAAAGACGAAUGGGAGCCUGUGUACGGCAAGCCCAGUGGGACAAAGCGCCUUUUAAACGUCUGAUAAUGACCGUUAUGUAAUGAUAAUGAGUCCCUUUAGACAAUCAAGCAGACAAUUUUAGCUGUCAAUCGUAGAGAAUUUCACGUCCAAUCAGGGACUUUCUACCUGUUCUACAUCCUGCUUUAUAUCCUUGCUAUACUAUUAAAGAGACACCAGUCAAUGUUAUAAACUCAUUAGAAUUGGUCAUUAGUAGACCCAUUUUGACCCAUUUGGCUUGCUGUCUUCAUGGUUUGGGAGUGGUGGAGGGGUGGAGAGUUUCAGCGGCAUCUGUCGUGUGAUGUGAUGUUUAUUUGACAAUUUUAGUUUUUUUAUAUAUUGUUGUGUUCAGUUUGUGUCAGUCAAUCUAUUUCAUCACAAGUGGAAGCUACAGUCAUAUUCCAUAAAAAAAAACGGCAUAAAUGUCAAAUUACAGAAUGAUGAGAGACGCGGUUUUGUGUCCUAACACACACUUGGUGGCUCAUCCACUCAGUCCUAAUUUAAAGGUUGGGUAUGGGAUUUGCUAAACGGCAGCAGAUUUUUAAAGUACACAACUCAAAUGGUCCUACCCCCUCUCCUUCAACGCUGACUCUGACUCCAACCAUUCCAAGUACAUGGACGCGCAAUCAUCCACGAGUGCGAACACAGAUGCGGGAGAUCGAGCCAUUACCUAGUUAGCUAGCUCCAGUAGCUACCGCAGGAUAACAACAGAAGCUUGCUCUGGGUCACGAGCUUUGAGUACGUGCACAAAGGGGUCGCGCGGGGAGUGCAGUUGCGACCGUUUGAUUGACGUACUUACUGUCCAAUGCAACUCGGUGGUUCUGGAAAUCAUUGGCUGGAGUUUUUCGAGCCCUGCCCGUUCCACAGAUGAUUGACUUGUUUAAUUUUCAUGUCAGUACUUCUAACUCAGUGGCUGUAAGUGGGUUAUGAUAAGGAUUUC